CAGGCCUAACACAUGCAAGUCGAGCGGUAACAGGGGGUGCUUGCACUCUGCUGACGAGCGGCGGACGGGUGCGUAACACGUAGGAAUCUGGCCGGUAGAGGGGGAUAGCCCGAAGAAAUUCGGAUUAAUACCGCAUACGCCCUAAGGGGGAAAGCAGGGGAUCUUAGGACCUUGCGCUAUCGGAUGAGCCUGCGUCGGAUUAGCUAGUUGGUGGGGUAAAGGCCUACCAAGGCAACGAUCCGUAGCUGAUCUGAGAGGAUGAUCAGCCACACUGGGACUGAGACACGGCCCAGACUCCUACGGGAGGCAGCAGUGGGGAAUAUUGCACAAUGGGCGCAAGCCUGAUGCAGCCAUGCCGCGUGUGUGAAGAAGGCUUUAGGGUUGUAAAGCACUUUCAGCGAGGAGGAAAGGGUUAGAGUUAAUACCUCCGAUCUGUGACGUUACUCGCAGAAGAGGCACCGGCUAACUCCGUGCCAGCAGCCGCGGUAAUACGGAGGGUGCGAGCGUUAAUCGGAAUUACUGGGCGUAAAGCGUGCGUAGGUGGCUAGUUAAGUUGGUUGUGAAAGCCCUGGGCUCAACCUGGGAACUGCAUCCAAAACUGACUGGCUAGAGUGCGGAAGAGGAGUGUGGAAUUUCCUGUGUAGCGGUGAAAUGCGUAGAUAUAGGAAGGAACACCAGUGGCGAAGGCGACACUCUGGUCUGACACUGACGCUGAGGUACGAAAGCGUGGGGAGCAAACAGGAUUAGAUA
rnacentral:rRNA from 1 species